AGAGUUUGAUCAUGGCUCAGAUUGAACGCUGGCGGGAUGCUUUACACAUGCAAGUCGAACGGCAGCAUAGAGAGCUUGCUCUCUGAUGGCGAGUGGCGAACGGGUGAGUAAUAUAUCGGAACGUGCCCAGUAAUGGGGAAUAACUAGCCGAAAGGUUAGCUAAUACCGCAUACGACCUACGGGUGAAAGCAGGGGAUCUUAGGACCUUGCGUUAUUGGAGCGGCCGAUAUCUGAUUAGCUUGUUGGUGGGGUAAAAGCCUACCAAGGCAACGAUCAGUAGCUGGUCUGAGAGGACGAUCAGCCACACUGGAACUGAGACACGGUCCAGACUCCUACGGGAGGCAGCAGUGGGGAAUUUUGGACAAUGGGGGAAACCCUGAUCCAGCCAUCCCGCGUGAGUGAAGAAGGCCUUCGGGUUGUAAAGCUCUUUCGAAAGUGAAGAAAACUUAUUUCGUAAUAUGUUAUAAGUAUGACGGUAACUUUAGAAGAAGCACCGGCUAACUACGUGCCAGCAGCCGCGGUAAUACGUAGGGUGCGAGCGUUAAUCGGAAUUACUGGGCGUAAAGCGUGCGCAGGCGGUUUUGUAAGUCAGAUGUGAAAUCCCCGAGCUUAACUUGGGAACUGCGUUUGAAACUACA
rnacentral:rRNA from 1 species